UUUAAUAAAGUAAUUCAUGUCAAGUGGUUAGAGCAAAGCUGGCACAUAGCAAGAGAUGUGCGUUUCAAGUACUGAGAGCAACAUAUACAGAAGCAAGUCACAGAAACAAGAAAGAACAUGAAGCUUUUAGAGAACAGCCAGGGGAUCAAAGAGGUCAAGACAUUGAAUUCCAUGGCUGACUGUCAGAAAAUAAAGCUGUACCAUGAAGAGGUCAAGAUGUGGUCAUAAAGGAUAAAGAGCUACAUUUGCCUUAGUUUGGGAUUAAUUCUACAGGCAACAGGGAACAAGGAAAGGAUUUGUUUUUUGGAACUUGCUAGAAGUAUGGAGGAUCGAUUUGUGGAAAACUAUACUGGAUACAGAAAGGAUCAGAUGGUAUUCUAUUACAGUAGCCCAAGGUAAAUGUUGUGAAGAUCUGAACUAAUCUGGAAGAGUGGUAGUGAAGAGAAGAGGUCAAAUUUAUAAGUUUUGAUGACUGGAUAUACAUGGAAAUUAAAGAAUCAUGUUCCUGAGAUGACCCCAGGUUUCUGUGUUAAGUGGUUGCUUGUUUAGCAAUGCUGUCAACCAAACAGGAAAUAAAUAAGGGACUUGCAUCUUAAAGAAGGAAGAAGAAAAUAGUGAGCUCAUUUUGAAUCUGUUGGCUUUGAAGGGUCUACCUAGUGCAUGCUCUCUGCAGCUGCUCUACUUGUGUCCAUUGUGAACUCAGCCAAAGGGAGCUGUGUAAUUCCAAAAUGAUCAGAGAAAAACUUGCCAUCUGGAUGUCAUAAGUAAAUAACUUGUUUCUGAGGCCUGCCUGGAGCUGUCUGAACCAGUGCAAUCAUGGAGGUGUUGGCUAAUGCACCAGUAAUCACAGCAUCUGAGAUGAAGACACCUUCGGGCUUAUUCUUGUACAACUGUUCUUCACUAUGACAUUUCUUUAGCAUAUGUCUGAAGAUCAUUAAAAGGUAGUGCUGCAAUCUUCUCCAAAGGCAGUAUGAAAGGGGCCAGAGAUGUUGCAUUUUAAUACACUCCCAUAAGUGACAACACUGUUGGUCCAUGGACUGCUUGUUGAAUAUUGAGGAUAUAGUGGGAAGCAGAGGCACAAUUCCAGAGAAAUUUUCCAGGAGGAGGAAAUGGCUGUAUACUAAAUGGUCAGAGAUUAUAACAGCAGCAAUUAAGAUGAGAUUCUGCCUAUAGCAUUAGCUCAUUGUCUACUGCUCAAACAUAAGGUUAUUGUUAUUGUAUGAAGAGGGAAAGAGAUGUCAUGGACCAUUUCAUUCAUUUUGGCUGACCUAAAAGCUACACAUAGAACUCAGGAGCAACUGAAAGUCUUCCCAAUGGCCAAAGCUGGAAAAAUUGGAGCAAUAAAAUUCAUAAAGUAGUAUGCAAUUAUAACCCAAAGCAUAAAAUAAAUAUCCAUGAGUCCAUAGUGAUAUAAAUAAAUGAUGGAUUAAAUAUAGCCUUGUCCACUUACUGUGUAAAGAAG
rnacentral:lncRNA from 1 species